AUGCAUAGCAGAAAAAGAGAGUUUCAGGUUCUUGACUCGUUGAUGACCGAAAAACUUGACACUGUUACUAGAGAACUCGUUGAGGACCUGAGAAAACAACUAGCAGAAGAUAUCCAAGAAGCAAAUGCAACCGGAAUUGUGAAUUAUCCGGAUGUUUCCAAGUGGCCUAUUCAAACGUAUGACAUGCCAAAACAACAUGAUGGGUACGCAAGUCAUGUUUGGACUACGAUGUACAAUGAACGCUGUGCUAACACCAUUUUUUUUCAGACCUCAAUUGAUGAUUCAAGAGAGUUAAUGAUUGCGCAACUUAUAUUUUCGGAAAGAAACAAGCUUGAUGAAGUGAAAAACAAAGUUAUUCGGAUAUCAAAGAAGAAGAAAUAGAUGCGGCACGGAGG